rnacentral:rRNA from 1 species
AUACGGAGGAUGCGAGCGUUAUCCGGAUUUAUUGGGUUUAAAGGGAGCGUAGGUGGGAUAUUAAGUCAGCUGUGAAAGUUUGGGGCUCAACCUUAAAAUUGCAGUUGAUACUGGUUUCCUUGAGUACGGUAUAGGUGGGCGGAAUUCGUGGUGUAGCGGUGAAAUGCUUAGAUAUCACGAAGAACUCCGAUCGCGAAGGCAGCUCACCGGGCCGGAACUGACACUGAUGCUCGAAAGUGCGGGUAUCAAACAGGAUUAGAUACCCUGGUAGGCCGCACAGUAAACGAUGAAUACUCGCUGUUUGCGAUACACUGUAAGCGGCCAAGCGAAAGCGUUAAGUAUUCCACCUGGGGAGUACGCCGGCAACGGUGAAACUCAAAUGAAUUGACGGGG